AGAGUUUGAUCCUGGCUCAGGAUGAACGCUAGCUACAGGCUUAACACAUGCAAGUCGAGGGGAAACGACAUCGAAAGCUUGCUUUUGAUGGGCGUCGACCGGCGCACGGGUGAGUAACGCGUAUCCAACCUGCCCAUCACUUGGGGAUAACCUUGCGAAAGUAAGACUAAUACCCAAUGACGUCUCUAGAAGACAUCUGAAAGAGAUUAAAGAUUUAUCGGUGAUGGAUGGGGAUGCGUCUGAUUAGCUUGUUGGCGGGGUAACGGCCCACCAAGGCGACGAUCAGUAGGGGGUUCUGGAGAGGAAGGUCCCCCCACGAUUGGAACUGGAGACACGGUCCAAACUCCUACGGGAGGCA
rnacentral:rRNA from 1 species